AAGAGGUAGCGGCAGAGAAAGAGAUAUUCUCAGAUUAGGGUUUUAGGAAAAGAGGAAAAAGAAAAAGAAAAAUGGCGAAAUUCAAUGUGAUGCAGAGGAGGAGGAGAGCUCAAAUAGCAGAGAGAAAGAGAGCGAUUCAUGGAGACCCUACCACUGGUAAGCUCAAGAACAGGCCUCAACCUCUCUCUAUCUCCGGUAAACGCAAGCGCAAGCUUUUGAAGAAAUGGCGCAGAGAGCAGAAGGAUGCUAUAGAGAAGGGUCUAGUUAGCAUGGAAGAUGUUGAAAUGGCAGCAUCUCAAGAGCCUGGGCGAGGCAAGGUGCCACUAAAGUGCCUUAAAGGCUCUAAGGCGAGGCCACCUUUAGAGCCCAGGCGAGUAAGGCACAUCGCAAGACACUGACAAAACGCCAACCGCCUUUCACAUGAAGAAGAGUCUGAAGCUUAAACAACUAAAGCGUAGAGGCAAGAACAAAAGAAAAUCUUCUAUGCCAGCUACUGAAGCUUCAGUGGAUGCAAUGGUAGAAUAAAAUGAUGAGAAAGCAAAGCUCAAGUAACUCAAUCCUUGUACUAUUUUUGAGAGGACACGCUGUAGAGAUGCUUAGAUUAAAAUUGCUUCCUUUCAAACUCAA